AUCUAUUUACUGGAAAUCCGUAGUCAAGAAGACUCUCGAGAGUGCAUGCACAGGAAAACUCUGUCGUUUGGAUAGGCAAGUCUCUCAUAUGAAUGAUCUUAAUUUGUAAAUUUUCAGGUUUUGAUCUUAACUCUGUGAAGCCUCAUGAGUACAAACUCAUUAUGAAUUGUGGUUACAGGAGGUGAUAGUGCAGUAGGUUGGGUUUUGGGAUGUCUUGGUACAAGCAACGACCUUUCAAGAACUUUCAGUUGGGGUGGUUCAAUCCCUAUUUACUAGAAAUCCAUAGUCAAGAAGACUCUCGAGAAUGCAUGCACAGGCAAACUCUGUCGUUUGGAUAGGCAAGUCUCUCAUAUGAAUGAUCUUAAUUUGUAAAUCUUCAGGUUUUGAUCUUAACUCUGUGAAGCCUCAUGAGUUUGUACUCAUUAUGAAUUGUGGUUGCAGGAGGUAAUAGUGCAGUAGGUUGGGUUUUGGGACUUCUCGGUACAGGCAAUGACCUUUCAAGAACUUUCGGUUGGGGUGGUUCAAUCCUUAUUUAUUGGAAUUUCGUAGUCAAGAAGACUCUCGACAAUGCCUGCACAGGCAAACUCUGUCGUUUGAACAGGCAAGUCUCUCAUAUAAACAUAGGAAAGAACAAU